rnacentral:tRNA from 1 species
GUCUCCGUAGCUCAGCUGGAUAGAGCAAGGCACUUCUAAUGCCUAGGCCAGAGGUUCGAAUCCUCUCGGGGACACCA